CGAGGCGGACGGAGGGAUGGAUGAGGUUACCUGGAAAAAAUCGGGGCGAUCUAGGCGGGCGAACCUCGCCAACGAACGAUCGGACAUGGGAUAACGGAAGAGGGCGUCGGCUCGACUUCGUCGGUUCCUCGGGCCGAGGCACGUACGGUGAAUAGGGACGGUCGGGGCCGCCCGUACCGGGUCGUGAGAGGUGAAAUUCUAGGAUCGACCCGAGACGAACCGCCGCGAAAGCAUUCGGCAAGGACGCUUUCAUUAAUCAAGAACGAAAGUCGGGGGAUCGAAGACGAUCAGAUACCGUCGUAGUCCCGACCGUAAACGAUGCCGACCGAGGGCCCGGAGGAGUUACGUACGACCCUCCGGGCCCUCCCGCGAGAAAUCAGGAGUAUUCGGGUUCCGGGGGAGUAUGGUCGCAAGGCCGAAACUUAAAGGAAUUGACGGAAGGGCACCACCAGGAGUGGAAUCUGCGGCUUAAUUUGACUCAACGCGGG
rnacentral:rRNA from 1 species